rnacentral:rRNA from 1 species
ACGGGGGGAGCAAGCGUUGUUCGGAUUUACUGGGCGUAAAGGGCGGGUAGGCGGCCACUGCGAGUCGGUUGUGAAAUCUCCGGGCUUAACUCGGAAAGGUCAAUCGAUACUGCAGGGCUAGAGUGCAGAAGGGGCAACUGGAAUUCUCGGUGUAGCGGUGAAAUGCGUAGAUAUCUGGAGGAACACCGGUGGCGAAGGCGGCAUCCUGGACCGGCAUUGACGCUGAGACGCGAAAGCCAGGGGGGCAAACGGGA